rnacentral:rRNA from 1 species
CGGCGGGCCUAACACAUGCAAGUCGAGCGAGAAAGGGACUUCGGUCCUGAGUAAAGCGGCGAACGGGUGAGUAAUACGUAGGUAAUCUUCCCUUGAGCGGGGGACAACGGUCCGAAAGGACCGCUAAUACCGCAUACGUUCCUGUCGGCCCCGGUCGACAGGAGGAAAGCUAGGCCGCAAGGUCCGGCACUCGAGGAGGAGCCUGCGUCGCAUCAGCUAGUUGGUG